AGGAAGUUCGAAAACAGAUUUAAACUAAGUUUCAAUGGCUGCUCUUGUUUGCCAGUACUGUGAGCAGGCGUUGUUGCAGAAGAGUUUGGGAUGCUAAAACAACCUCUGGAGCUGUUUUUUGUCGAACACGAGUGAGACUGGACGCUUAGCAUGCCUGCAGCGCAAAGGUGUCACCACAUCAUCCACCGCAUCGUCCACGAGAUCGCAGAGACAUGAUCCAUGAUCGGAGAGACAUUGUUGAGGAUGAGGGAGACAUCGUCCACGAUCAGAGACAUUGUCCGUGAUCGCAGAGACCUUGUCAAAGAUGAGAGAGACGUUGUCCAUGAUCAGAGACAUUGCUCCAUGCUUCGUAGAGCUCUGCGCAAGAAUCGGUAGAGACACUGUGGUUCCUCGAUUCGACGGCAUGACCGCGAUCAUGGAGAUAUUUGUCGAUGAUCACAGAGACGCCGUCUAUGAUCUCAGAGACAUCGUCCACGAUCACAAAGACAUUGUUCAUGAUCACAGAGACUUUGUCCAUAAUCUCAGAGACAUUGUCCGCGAUCACAGGGAUGUAGUCCACGAUCGCAGAGAACCAUCGUACAAUGAAGAAGUUCUUUGAAACCAGGACAGAGGCCUCCAGGUGUCACCACAUCAUCCACCGCAUCGUCCACGAUCGUAGAGACGUUGUCCAUGAUCGGAGAGACAUUGUUGAGGAUGAGGGAGACAUCGUCUACGAUCAGAGACAUUGUCCAUGACUCGUGGUGACUUGGUCCCCGAUUAGUCGGCAUUGCCGGCGUUCAGAGAGACAUUGUUGAUGAUCGCAGAGACUUUGUCCAUAAUCUCAGAGACAUUGUCCGCGAUCGCAGUGGGGUCGUCCACGAUCACAGAGACGUCGUCCACGAUCGCAGAGACAUGAUCCAUGAUCGGAGAGACAUUGUUGAGGAUGAGGGAGACAUCGUCCACGAUCAGAGACAUUGUCCGUGAUCGCAGAGACCUUGUCAAAGAUGAGAGAGACGUUGUCCAUGAUCAGAGACAUUGCUCCAUGCUUCGUAGAGCUCUGCGCAAGAAUCGGUAGAGACACUGUGGUUCCUCGAUUCGACGGCAUGACCGCGAUCAUGGAGAUAUUUGUCGAUGAUCACAGAGACGCCGUCUAUGAUCUCAGAGACAUCGUCCACGAUCACAAAGACAUUGUUCAUGAUCACAGAGACUUUGUCCAUAAUCUCAGAGACAUUGUCCGCGAUCACAGGGAUGUAGUCCACGAUCGCAGAGAACCAUCGUACAAUGAAGAAGUUCUUUGAAACCAGGACAGAGGCCUCCAGGUGUCACCACAUCAUCCACCGCAUCGUCCACGAUCGUAGAGACGUUGUCCAUGAUCGGAGAGACAUUGUUGAGGAUGAGGGAGACAUCGUCUACGAUCAGAGACAUUGUCCAUGACUCGUGGUGACUUGGUCCCCGAUUAGUCGGCAUUGCCGGCGUUCAGAGAGACAUUGUUGAUGAUCGCAGAGACUUUGUCCAUAAUCUCAGAGACAUUGUCCGCGAUCGCAGUGGGGUCGUCCACGAUCACAGAGACGUCGUCCACGAUCGCAGAGACAUGAUCCAUGAUCGGAGAGACAUUGUUGAGGAUGAGGGAGACAUCGUCCACGAUCAGAGACAUUGUCCGUGAUCGCAGAGACCUUGUCAAAGAUGAGAGAGACGUUGUCCAUGAUCAGAGACAUUGCUCCAUGCUUCGUAGAGCUCUGCGCAAGAAUCGGUAGAGACACUGUGGUUCCUCGAUUCGACGGCAUGACCGCGAUCAUGGAGAUAUUUGUCGAUGAUCACAGAGACGCCGUCUAUGAUCUCAGAGACAUCGUCCACGAUCACAAAGACAUUGUCCAUGAUCACAGAGACUUUGUCCAUAAUCUCAGAGACAUUGUCCGCGAUCACAAGGAUGUAGUCCACGAUCGCAGAGAACCAUCGUACAACGAAGAAGUUCUUUGAGACCAGGACAGAGGCCUCCAGAUUUCCUUGAGGUGUCACCACUUGGCCCACAACAUUGUCCACGAAUGCAGAGACAUCAUCCAUGAUCGGAGAAAUAUCCUUGGGGAUGAGGGAGACAUUGUCCAUGAAAAAAUGAAAACAUCAAAAAAUUUCAUAGUAUAGUAAGGAGUCAGAAAUCAUCAAAAAAAUGUCACAGUAAAGUAAGGCGUCAGAAAUCAUCAAAAAACUUCACAGUAAAGUGUCAAAAAUGGUCAGAAAAUGUCAUAGUAAUGUGUCAGAAACCAUCAAAAAAUAUAGUAUAGCAAGGCUUCAAAAACUAUCAAAAAUGUCAUAGUAUAUAAGGCGUAAAAAAUUGUCAAAAAAUGUCACAGUAAAGUAAGGCAUCAGAAAUCAUCAAAAAAUGUCAGUAAAGUAAGGCGUCAGAAAUGAUCAAAAAUGUCAUAAUAUACUAAUGCGUCAAAAAUGGUCAAAAAAUGUCAUGGUAUAGCAAGGCAUCAAAAACCAUCAAAAAUGUCAUAGUAUACUAAGGUGUCAGAAAUGAUCAAAAACUGUAAUGGUGUAGUAAGGCAUGAAAAAUGGUCCAAAAAUGCUAUAGUAUAGAAAGGUGUCAAAAACCAUCAAAAAUGUCAUAGUAUACUAAGGCGUCAAAAAAUGUCAUAGUAUACUAAGGCGUCAAAAAAUGUCAUGGUAUAGCAAGGCGUCAAAAACCAUCAAAAAUGUCAUAGUAUACUAAGGCGUCAGAAAUUAUCAAAAACUGUCAUAGUAUUGUAAUGUGUCAAAAACCAUCAAAAAUAUAGUAUAGCAAGGCAUCAAAAAGAUCAGAUCAGAUAUGUCAUAGUAUACUAAGGCAUCAAAAAUGGUCAAAAAAUGUCACAGUAAAGUAAGGUGUCAAAAACCAUCAAAAAUGUCACAGUAAAGUAAGGUGUCAGAAAUCAGCAAAAAAUGUCCCAGUAAAGUAAGGUGUCAAAAAUGGUCAAAAAAUGUCAUAGUAUAGUAAUGUGUCAAAACCCAUCAAAAAAUAUAGUACAGCAAGGCAUCAAAAAUGUCAUAGUAUACUAAGGAGUAAAAAAUGGUCAAAAAAUGUCACAGUAAAGUAAGGCGUCAGAAAUGAUCAAAAAUGUCAUAAUAUACUAAUGCGUCAAAAAUGGUCAAAAAAUGUCAUGGUAUAGCAAGGCAUCAAAAACCAUCAAAAAUGUCAUAGUAUACUAAGGUGUCAGAAAUGAUCAAAAACUGUCAUGGUGUAGUAAGGCAUGAAAAAUGGUCCAAAAAUGCUAUAGUAUAGAAAGGUGUCAAAAACC